rnacentral:rRNA from 1 species
AUGGCUCUUUGAAAACAUAUAAUAAAGAGUCUAGCCUGCCCAGUGGUUAAUUUAACGGCCGCGGUACUCUGACCGUGCGAAGGUAGCAUAAUCAUUUGUCUUAUAAUUGAAGUCUGGAAUGAAUGGUUUAACAAGAGCGAAACUGUCUCUAUUAAUAGGAUAAAAUUUUAUGAUUAAGUUAAAAAGCUUAAAUAUAAUUAAAAGACGAGAAGACCCUAUCGAGUUUAAGGAAAAUAAUUAAAAUUUUUAACAUUGAUGAAUACUAAAUAUUUAAUAAAACUUUAGUUGGGGCGAUUCAGGAACAAAUAAAGCUUCUUGUAAUUAAAAUUUAUUGAUAAAUAUAGGAUCCAUAAUUUGUGAUUAAAAGAAUUAAUUACCGUAGGGAUAACAGCAUUAUCUUUUUUGAGAGCUCAAAUCGAAAAAAAUGUUUGUGACCUCGAUGUUGGACCAAGAUAACCUGAAGAUGUAGAAGUCUUUAAAGGUUGGUCUGUUCGACCAUUAAAAUCUUACGUGAUCUGAGUUCAGACCGG